GGUAGGUUGGCCGAGAGGAAAUGCGCUCGGUUGCUAACCGAAGGCCAACCGCAAGGUUGCAUAGGUUCGAUUCCUAUACCUACCGCCA
rnacentral:tRNA from 1 species